rnacentral:rRNA from 1 species
UACGAAGGUGGCUAGCGUUGCUCGGAAUCACUGGGCGUAAAGCGCACGUAGGCGGAUUGUUAAGUCAGGGGUGAAAUCCUGGAGCUCAACUCCAGAACUGCCUUUGAUACUGGCGAUCUUGAGUCCGGGAGAGGUGAGUGGAACUCCGAGUGUAGAGGUGAAAUUCGUAGAUAUUCGGAAGAACACCAGUGGCGAAGGCGGCUCACUGGCCCGGUACUGACGCUGAGGUGCGAAAGCGUGGGGAGCAAACAGG